GCUCGUGUGACGGAAUUGGUAGACGUAGUGGACUCAAAAUCCACCGCCAGUUAUGGCUUGCCGGUUCGACUCCGGUCACGAGCACCA
rnacentral:tRNA from 1 species